GACCUGGCUCAGAUUGAACGCUGGCGGCAGGCCUAACACAUGCAAGUCGAACGGUAACAGGAAGCAGCUUGCUGCUUCGCUGACGAGUGGCGGACGGGUGAGUAAUGUCUGGGAAGCUGCCUGAUGGAGGGGGAUAACUACUGGAAACGGUAGCUAAUACCGCAUAAUGUCGCAAGACCAAAGAGGGGGGACCUUCGGGCCGUCUUGCCAUCGGAUGUGCCCAGAUGGGAUUAG
rnacentral:rRNA from 1 species